rnacentral:rRNA from 1 species
GACGAACCGUGCAAACGUUAUUCGGAAUCACUGGGCAUAAAGCGCACGUAGGCGGCGACGUAAGUUGGGUGUGAAAUCCCUCGGCCCAACCGAGGAACUGCGCCCAGUACUGCGUUGCUUGAGGAUCCAAGGGGUGCAUGGAAUUCCCGGUGGAGCGGUGAAAUGCGUUGAUAUCGGGAGGAACACCAAUGGCGAAGGCAGCUUGCUGGGACGGUACUGACGCUGAGGCGCGAAAGCGUGGGGAGCAAACAGG